GCAACAUGUAAUUCAACUUUUAACUUUUCAGUGCAUAAAAAGGAAAAAUGGGAAUUAAAGAAAACACUUACUGGAAAGAUCACGUGAGACAAAGAAGGAAGAAACUGACAGAGGCAACAGUUACCACAGAAUUUGAAGUCAAUAAGUGCUGAAGUUGAAGAGAUGACUAGCAAGGCAAUAAUCGUUUCAAGUGAUAUCUUCACUUACCAACCCAAGAGUAAGGAACAGCUGAAUUGAGUCUGUGUGAAUCAGUGGUUUAAAUUCACAGGGAAUUUGAC